UUGGCCAUGCUGAAACUUUCUCUGACCCCGAGGUGGUAAAACAACGAUGGCUGUCGGAAGGCGUCACUCAUCUCCACCACAGCGAUAUCUGCAAACACAAAACAAAGCCCCCCAAAGAUGACACCUAAAUAAUGCCCGACAGGGAGAGACAGAGCAUGAACAGGGGAGGGUCAGAGAGAGGGAGACACAGAAUCUGAAACAGGCUCCAGGCUCUGAGCUGUCAGCACAGAGCCCGACGCGGGGCUCGAACUCACAGACCACAAGAUCAUGACCUGAGCCAAAGUCAGCCGCUCAACCGACUGAGCCACCCAGGCGCCCCUGUUGACAGGAUUUUCAAACAGCAGAAAUUUCUAACGCUGUCAUCUCUUGUCCUCAUAAACCCAAUCGGAUCUAAGCAGUGUGGGUGAGUGCCCGGGAGAUCCACUGUGCUCCAGGAUUCGCAAAGUGUGAACAAGUGGAAACCUCUGAGUCAGAAUUCACCAACAGGUCUAAAAGAUGUUAUGCUUUUCCGUUCUCUGUAGUCUCUCAAAGGCACUUGCAACACCUAAUAAA